AGUGAACGCUGGCGGCGUGCUUAACACAUGCAAGUCGAACGAGAACGGAAUAUAGCUUGCUAUAUUUGUCAGCUAAGUGGCGCACGGGUGAGUAAUGUAUAGAUAACCUGCCCUUACGAAAGGAAUAACAGUUGGAAACGACUGCUAAUGCCCUAUAUGCCUUUAAUACAUAAGUAUGCAAGGGAAACGCUUUAGUGCUUAAGGAUGGGUCUGUAUGGUAUCAGCUUGUUGGUGAGGUAAUGGCUCACCAAGGCUAUGACGCCUAACUGGUUUGAGAGGAUGAUCAGCCACACUGGAACUGAGACACGGUCCAGACUCCUACGGGAGGCAGCAGUGGGGAAUAUUGCACAAUGGACGAAAGUCUGAUGCAGCAACGCCGCGUGGAGGAUGACACAUUUCGGUGCGUAAACUCCUUUUAUAUAGGAAGAUAAUGACGGUGCUAUAUGAAUAAGCACCGGCUAACUCCGUGCCAGCCGCCGCAGUAA
rnacentral:rRNA from 1 species